rnacentral:rRNA from 1 species
GUCUACGGCCAUACCACCCUGAACGCGCCCGAUCUCGUCUGAUCUCGGAAGCUAAGCAGGGUCAGACCUGGUUAGUAAUUGGAUGGGAGACCGCCUGGGAAUACCGGGUGCUGUAGGCU